CAUUUAUCAACUAAAAGUUCAUUUCCAAUUCCCUCAAUCCCAAUUCUACAGAAUCCCAAAUUUUAAUCAAUCCACACAUUUUCGAGCGAGUUCCCUUCAAUUCGAGAUUUGUCCAAGUUCUUCAAUCGAAAAUUUGUUCAGCUCGAUCAUCGACGGUGCAACACACUUGGCACGACUUCCUCGACCGGAUCGAUGUGUCGACCUUCCGCCGCUGAAUUUGUCAAAACCAUUAAAAGGUUUUAAUUGGAUGGCAUCUAAGAGGAUUUUGAAGUAUCUCCAGGAUAAACAGAAAGAUUCUCCUACUUCCUGAAUCGUGUUUGCAUUCAAGAAUCGGAGGGUUUAAAAGACUUAAACCUAAGCAGAACAAAGGAGGUUCUGAUGGUUCUUGAAGAUGGGCAAUUGAACAGCAAACCUGCAACUCAGCAAUUGGAGAACUCUCACUGUUGCUUUUCUAAGAUGAAGGAACCUGUUGUGGAGGAUAGUUUAAAUCACACAAUGUUUUAAAGCUCUUUGCUUGUUGGUUGCUGCAUAUUCAGAUACGUAUACAUAUCAGUUGCUAGUUCAUAUAGAACUUAAAUAAUCCAAAACAAAAAUGCAUGUGUAUUAGAUAUUCAAUUUGGAGGUUCCUCUCCUUGUUUGAUUAAUAAAAAACUUGCUGAAUGUGCCUUGUCACAACUUCUUCACUACAUCUUUGCAGAAACUGUAUUCUGUUGUGAGGAACAAGGACAUGUUGAGAACUAUUGUUAAUCAGGCGUUGUUAAUUUGUCACAACUUCUUCACUACUAAUAAGGCCCCAGCAGGUCAAAUAAUGGGAACUGUUGUUUCACCUGGUAUGGCCGCCACAUUGGAGCUGAGGAACCCAGGGGUCACUGUGAAAGGGAAUUAAUCUCCUAUUUCUUCUCCUCAUGGAGUCGCAUCUUCUGAAGCUUCGUUACAGGCACAGCCUGUUCAGGCUGAGACUGAGGAACUCGCCAGAAGAGUUGAAUCCAAAAACUCCGUCCAGCAUUAACGGGGAAAUUGUAAAAUUUGACAAGGAGAUGAGAAUGGCUUGGCUAAUGUUGAUCCCAAACGUAAUCCCAAUGGAAGCACCGGAAACUUAUUAUCAAGGGUCAACAAUUCGGGUUCUGUUGGUAGAAAAAACUCAGAUGAAGGUGCUGACAUGUUUGCAAAAAGCGCAAAGUCGGGUGCCAAGUUCCAUCAGUUACUAGACAACCGAAGGGGUGACGUUGUGGCAGCUCACUGAGGUGUGGACGUAGAAAUCUGGGAAGUCAUGAAGAAACAGGAUGAUCUUGUAAUUUUGGCAUCAACUUAACGUCCAAAAUUACUGCUAACUGCCACAUAUUGGGAAUUAGGAACAUAAAAAAUGUAAUUGUUAGCUAAAGGUUUUUCUUAGUGGCAGAACUGAUGUGUUUUAAAAUAGAAUUCAAGGUGCCGAGAUUUGACUACUUAAGAAAUAUGUAUAUUGAUGAGUUUUAGAUAUUUGGAAGAGGGGAGUCUUUGGGUUCCACCUUUGGUUUGUUCAUGUAUAACUACAAUGGUGUAUCGUCAUUUUAUCCUAAGUUUUAAUUAUAUACUUACAUAAUUGUUA